AGUGAACGCUGGCGGUAGGCCUAACACAUGCAAGUCGAACGGCAGCACAGUAAGAGCUUGCUCUUACGGGUGGCGAGUGGCGGACGGGUGAGGAAUACAUCGGAAUCUACUUUUUCGUGGGGGAUAACGUAGGGAAACUUACGCUAAUACCGCAUACGACCUACGGGUGAAAGCAGGGGAUCUUCGGACCUUGCGCGAUUGAAUGAGCCGAUGUCGGAUUAGCUAGUUGGCGGGGUAAAGGCCCACCAAGGCGACGAUCCGUAGCUGGUCUGAGAGGAUGAUCAGCCACACUGGAACUGAGACACGGUCCAGACCCCUACGGGAGGCAGCAGUGGGGAAUAUUGGACAAUGGGCGCAAGCCUGAUCCAGCCAUACCGCGUGGGUGAAGAAGGCCUUCGGGUUGUAAAGCCCUUUUGUUGGGAAAGAAAAGCAGCAGGUUAAUACCCCGCUAUUCUGACGGUACCCAAAGAAUAAGCACCGGCUAACUUCGUG
rnacentral:rRNA from 1 species